UGGGGAAUAUUGGACAAUGGGCGCAAGCCUGAUCCAGCAAUGCCGCGUGUGUGAAGAAGGCCUGCGGGUUGUAAAGCACUUUCAGUGGGGAGAAAGGGGCUGUUCUUAAUACGGACAGCAGAUGAUGUUACCCACAGAAGAAGCACCGGCUAACUCUGUGCCAGCAGCCGCGGUAAUACAGAGGGUGCGAGCGUUAAUCGGAAUUACUGGGCGUAAAGGGUGCGUAGGUGGUUGCAUAAGUUAGGUGUGAAAUUCCUGGGCUUAACCUGGGGACUGUGCCUAAUACUGUGCGACUAGAGUCUUGUAGAGGAAGGUGGAAUUUCCGGUGUAGCGGUGAAAUGCGUAGAUAUCGGAAGGAACAUCAGUGGCGAAGGCGACCUUCUGGACAAAGACUGACACUGAGGCACGAAAGCAUGGGGAGCAAACAGGAUUAGAUACCCCCGUAGUCC
rnacentral:rRNA from 1 species